AAAUCUCUUUUCAUUUAACUGCACAUGGCACAUGGCUAUUUUCUGAAGGUCAAAAACUCUGCAAAGUAGUGAAGAUGGCUAGAUUAUUGCAAAGAUUUAUAUUGCAAUAUCAGGAAUCAUUACAGUUUGGGGCUGUUACAGGAACUGUGAUACAGCCAGUCAUGCUCCGAUGUUUUAGUCAUGAGAGAACAGCCAAAACUGGACCUGUACCAUCCAGAAAUCCCAGUAAUGUGCCA